rnacentral:rRNA from 1 species
AGCGAACGCUGGCGGCAGGCUUAACACAUGCAAGUCGAACGCCCCGCAAGGGGAGUGGCAGACGGGUGAGUAACACGUGGGAACGUACCCUUUGGUUCGGAAUAACUCGGGGAAACUCAAGCCAAUACCGGAUAAGCCCUUAUGGGGAAAGGUUUACUGCCGAAGGAUCGGCCCGCGUCUGAUUAGCUGGUUGGUGAGGUAACGGCUCACCAAGGCGACGAUCAGUAGCUGGUCUGAGAGGGUGAUCAGCCACACUGGGACUGAGACACGGCCCAGACUCCUACGGGAGGCAGCAGUGGGGAAUAUUGGACAAUGGGGGCAACCCUGAUCCAGCCAUGCCGCGUGAGUGAUGAAGGCCUUAGGGUUGUAAAGCUCUUUUACCCGGGACGAUAAUGACUGUACCGGGAGAAUAAGCCCCGGCUAACUUCGUGCCAGCCGCCGCAGUAA